GCCGAGGCCGUUUCCGUCGAUAAAGAACCGAAGCCACCAUAGACAAUGGGAUUAGAUACCCCAGUAUCGGUGUGCCCCAAACUAUGCCGUCCGGCUGGACGUCGGCUAACAUUGUGGCCGGCGUUCGGUCCGAGGAAGCUGGAGCGAUUUGGCUUCUGGGAGAGUACGGCUGCAAAGCUGAAACUUAAAGGAAUUGACGGAAGGGCACCAUCAGGUCUGGAUUGUGCGGCUCAAUUGGAUUCGACGCCCGACACCCCACCAGGACAGGAGCGCCCGAUGAAGCACCGGCCGAAUACCUCUGCCGAUGGGCGUGCGGGUGGUGCAUGGCCGCCGUAGUUCGUGAGGUGACUUGUCUGGUUGGUUCCGACAACGAACGCAACCGCCGCGCCCCGCUACCACCCGAGGCCCACGACCGCGUUUCGGCGCGGUCUCCUCGGUUCGAUCCGGAGCAGACUAACCCGCGAAUGGGUCUUCAGACCCAAAGUGGGAGUAAGCUACGGCGAUGGCAGGUCCGUAAUGCCCCCAGAUGCUCUGGAUAGCACGCGCCAUACAAUGCCUGCUCGAGCGCGACGCUGCCCCGAGAGGGGAUCGGCGAAUCGCGGGAAAAGCGGGCCCGGUCGGGAUUGAGGAUUGCAACUGUUUCUCGUGAACUCGGAACACCUCGUAGGGGCGAGUCAUCAACUGG
rnacentral:rRNA from 1 species